rnacentral:tRNA from 1 species
AGGCAUCUAGUUUAAAUAAAACCCUUGAUUUCGGCUCAAAUAUUUGUGGUUAAAAUCCGCAGCUGCCUA